rnacentral:rRNA from 1 species
AUUGAACGCUGGCGGAAUGCUUUACACAUGCAAGUCGAACGGCAGCACGGGGGCAACCCUGGUGGCGAGUGGCGAACGGGUGAGUAAUGUAUCGGAACGUACCCCGUCGUGGGGGAUAACUCUCCGAAAGGAGAGCUAAUACCGCAUACGACCUGAGGGUGAAAGCGGGGGACCUGCAAGGGCCUCGCGCGAUGGGAGCGGCCGAUAUCGGAUUAGCUAGUUGGUGAGGUAAAGGCUCACCAAGGCGACGAUCCGUAGCGGGUCUGAGAGGACGACCCGCCACACUGGAACUGAGACACGGUCCAGACUCCUACGGGAGGCAGCAGUGGGGAAUUUUGGACAAUGGGGGAAACCCUGAUCCAGCCAUUCCGCGUGAGUGAAGAAGGCCUUCGGGUUGUAAAGCUCUUUCAGCAGGAACGAAACGGUAGGCUUUAAUACAGUCUGCUAAUGACGGUACCUGCAGAAGAAGCACCGGCUAACUACGUG